GCUGUCUUAGUCUAGUGGUUUAAGACGCUGCCCUCCCAUCUAGAGGCAACUCUGGUGACCGAGGAAAGGCAGAGGUCAUGGGUUCGACUCCCAUAGGCAGCA
rnacentral:tRNA from 1 species